CGCGCUGUGCUCGCGGCCGUCCGGCCCGUCCGGCAGCCCCGGGUCAGCCCGGUGAACUAAGCGGACCCGGGAUGGCCGAGCCGGGGGCCGGCGUUCUGUGCUCCGUUUGCUCACCCUGACCGUGGCACCCGCAUAAGCCGUCUGUGUGUUCCAGAGAGGCCAGCCCUGCAUGUGCUGUCCGUGAGCGUGCUUGGACCUACGCAUAGGACCCAGCUGAGCGGGACAUUUACACGACUGCUGGGGUCGAGGGCAGAACAGGGGGAAACUGUGUUCUGGCGGAGGCACAGCACCCCGGGAGCACCCAGAGCCUGAAGAACACCGGGAUGCCGCAGACAAAGAAGAAGAUGAAGUAGGGGAUGAAGAAGGCUCCUGCAGAAGAGAGAGAGGCAGGGCUGAGCCACACCCGGGCUCUUCCUCAGCCUCCAUCCUUUCAGACCCUCCUCCCCCAACAAACCCGCCCUCCACCAUCCUGUUCUUAAUCUCCCUCCUGACACUUUCCAAGGGCCCACUCCUGCCUGCGUGCAGUCCUGAGUGUUAGGCAGGCACAGGUGGGAAUGUUCUGAUCUGAACCCUACACAGAAUGAGAAAGGCCUUGGAAGGGAAAUUAGUGAAAACUUAGGUGGAAAUUCUAAUAUAUGCACUAUUUAUUUUCUUAGUGUGCUUUACAAAUCUAGUCAAUAGAUUAUUUUUGGAAUAAACACAUGGCUUCUGUAUAACUUGAUAUGCUUAUUAAACUCUUGGUACAUUUUAGAGAAAAACAAACAC
rnacentral:lncRNA from 1 species